GAGCGGAUGAGAAGAGCUUGCUCUUCGAUUCAGCGGCGGACGGGUGAGUAAUGCCUAGGAAUCUGCCUGGUAGUGGGGGACAACGUUUCGAAAGGAACGCUAAUACCGCAUACGUCCUACGGGAGAAAGCAGGGGACCUUCGGGCCUUGCGCUAUCAGAUGAGCCUAGGUCGGAUUAGCUAGUUGGUGGGGUAAUGGCUCACCAAGGCGACGAUCCGUAACUGGUCUGAGAGGAUGAUCAGUCACACUGGAACUGAGACACGGCCCAGACUCCUACGGGAGGCAGCAGUGGGGAAUAUUGGACAAUGGGCGAAAGCCUGAUCCAGCCAUGCCGCGUGUGUGAAGAAGGUCUUCGGAUUGUAAAGCACUUUAAGUUGGGAGGAAGGGUUGUAGAUUAAUACUCUGCAAUUUUGACGUUACCGACAGAAUAAGCACCGGCUAACUCUGUGCCAGCAGCCGCGGUAAUACAGAGGGUGCAAGCGUUAAUCGGAAUUACUGGGCGUAAAGCGCGCGUAGGUGGUUCGUUAAGUUGGAUGUGAAAUCCCCGGGCUCAACCUGGGAACUGCAUUCAAAACUGUCGAGCUAGAGUAUGGUAGAGGGUGGUGGAAUUUCCUGUGUAGCGGUGAAAUGCGUAGAUAUAGGAAGGAACACCAGUGGCGAAGGCGACCACCUGGACUGAUACUGACACUGAGGUGCGAAAGCGUGGGGAGCGAACAGGAUUAGAUACCCUGGUAGUCCACGCCGUAAACGAUGUCAACUAGCCGUUGGGAGCCUUGAGCUCUUAGUGGCGCAGCUAACGCAUUAAGUUGACCGCCUGGGGAGUACGGCCGCAAGGUUAAAACUCAAAUGAAUUGACGGGGGCCCGCACAAGCGGUGGAGCAUGUGGUUUAAUUCGAAGCAACGCGAAGAACCUUACCAGGCCUUGACAUCCAAUGAACUUUCCAGAGAUGGAUUGGUGCCUUCGGGAGCAUUGAGACAGGUGCUGCAUGGCUGUCGUCAGCUCGUGUCGUGAGAUGUU
rnacentral:rRNA from 1 species